UUAACCAAAGCCAAAAAGCGGCAUGCCACUGUUACUGGAACGACUGAAAGUUCGACUUUCUGGUUAAG
rnacentral:tRNA from 1 species